GGUUUACAGAAUGUUUCCAGGGUGGAACCAAUGUUCAGUCUGUUGUUUUGGGGUUGACAGUAUUUUCAGUUGCACGCCACACUUGAUAGAGGGCAGCAUGCUUUCUUCUGUCACUCGGUGGUAGAGCUAUGCAGACGCAUGCAACGAAGUUUUCCAGCUGUGAAAAGAAGUGACACUGCAAGAUGUGUUUUCAUUAACCCCUGCAAGUUAAUGCGGCCAAUGAGGAUGAAGUGGUGGCUUCUCUGCUGGCUGGUGUUUUUUCUGUCACACCAACCUUCUGCAUGUCCUCGUUCAACACCAGUCUGUAAGAAGAAACCACGUUCACAAGGUCAGGGUUUCUGCAAGGACAAGUAUACGAAAAGUGGACCAUUGAGGAGCUACAACAAAUUCUAGAGGAAGAAGAAAUUAACGGGACCAGUUCAUCAAUGAUUUCUGACAGUGUUGUUGCCCUACAGUAUAAACCCAAUGGUACCUUUGAAGGGCUUGACAUUUAUGCCAGCAAUAAUCAGGUAAGCCCAGGCCCGCCUCCUCCCAGCAGCACAGUGAGAGUUCAGCUGCCGAGUGAACUGAAAGCUGGACCGAACAACAAGGUUGUGUUCU
ensembl:lncRNA